rnacentral:rRNA from 1 species
CACGGAGGCCCCAAGCGUUGUUCGGAUUUACUGGGCGUAAAGCGUGCGUAGGCUGUUGGGUAAGUCAGAUGUGAAAGCCCGGGGCUCGACCUCGGAACUGCAUCCGAUACUGCCCGACUAGAGGGUUGGAGAGGAGACUGGAAUUCACGGUGUAGCAGUGAAAUGCGUGGAUAUCGUGAGGAAGACCAAAGGCGAAGGCAGGUCUCUGGACAACAUCUGACGCUGAUGCACGAAGGCCAGGGGAGCAAAAAGG